ACGAACGCUGGCGGCGUGCUUAACACCUGCAAGUCGAACGAUGAAGCCUUAGCUUGCUUUGGUGGAUUAGUGGCGAACGGGUGAGUAACACGUGAGCAACGUGCCCAGGACUCUGGAAUAACCGCGGGAAACCGUGGCUAAUACCGGAUAGGUGCCGAGGCCGCAUGGUCUUCGGUUGGAAAGUUUUUGCGGUUCUGGAUCGGCUCACGGCCUAUCAGCUUGUUGGUGGGGUAAUGGCCUACCAAGGCGACGACGGGUAGCCGGCCUGAGAGGGUGACCGGCCACACUGGGACUGAGACACGGCCCAGACUCCUACGGGAGGCAGCAGUGGGGAAUAUUGCACAAUGGGCGCAAGCCUGAUGCAGCAACGCCGCGUGGGGGAUGACGGCCUUCGGGUUGUAAACCUCUUUUAGUAGGGAAGAAGCGCAAGUGACGGUACCUGCAGAAAAAGCACCGGCUAACUACGU
rnacentral:rRNA from 1 species